rnacentral:rRNA from 1 species
UACGGGGGGGGCAAGCGUUGUUCGGAAUUACUGGGCGUAAAGGGCUCGUAGGUGGCCAACUAAGUCGGACGUGAAAUCCCUCGGCUUAACCUGGGAACUGCGUUUCUAACUGGCAGGCUUGAGUGUGGCAGAGGGGGGUGGAAUUCCGACGUGUAGCAGUGAAAUGCGUAGAGAUGUGGAGGAACACCGAUGGCGAAGGCAGCCCCCUGGGCUAACACUGACGCUCAUGCACGAAAGCGUGGGGAGCAAACAGG